CUCUUCUGAAAGACCCCCGAAGUGGGGAGACCCUCACUCAAGUCUCAGGGUGACGCGACCCCCCAAGAACUCACGAGAGACU
rnacentral:pre_miRNA from 14 species